GUUGGCCAGCCCUGCUCCAGGUCAUGUGAUUCCUGACUCCUCCCACACAGGUGACUAAUCACAUGGCUAUGACAUCAUCACAGGCCCUAUAACAACAGAACAACCAAGCUGCAGCUCUACAGCAGGAGGUUCCUAAAAUAUAGAAUUGUCUGUUAAUAUCUUCUACGUAACAGAAUUUUCCUGAUAGACUCAUUAAGGAUGGAUAGGGACAGAGACAAGAUGGUUGAGGGGAUAAUAAAUCUCACCCUAGAGAUACUCUUCCAACUUACUGGAGAGGGUUACACUGUAGUGAAGAAGACCUCUAGUGAGGUUCCUUUGUCUGAAGGAUGGGGA